rnacentral:rRNA from 1 species
UAACACGUGAGUAACCUGCCCCCGAGAGCGGGAUAGCCCUGGGAAACUGGGAUUAAUACCGCAUAGUAUCGAAAGAUUAAAGCAGCAAUGCGCUUGGGGAUGGGCUCGCGGCCUAUUAGUUAGUUGGUGAGGUAACGGCUCACCAAGGCGAUGACGGGUAGCCGGUCUGAGAGGAUGUCCGGCCACACUGGAACUGAGACACGGUCCAGACACCUACGGGUGGCAGCAGUCGAGAAUCAUUCACAAUGGGGGAAACCCUGAUGGUGCGACGCCGCGUGGGGGAAUGAAGGUCUUCGGAUUGUAAACCCCUGUCAUGUGGGAGCAAAUUAAAAAGAUAGUACCACAAGAGGAAGAGACGGCUAACUCUGUGCCAGCAGCCGCGGUAAUACAGAGGUCUCAAGCGUUGUUCGGAAUCACUGGGCGUAAAGCGUGCGUAGGCUGUUUCGUAAGUCGUGUGUGAAAGGCGCGGGCUCAACCCGCGGACGGCACAUGAUACUGCGAGACUAGAGUAAUGGAGGGGGAACCGGAAUUCUCGGUGUAGCAGUGAAAUGCGUAGAUAUCGAGAGGAACACUCGUGGCGAAGGCGGGUUCCUGGACAUUAACUGACGCUGAGGCACGAAGGCCAGGGGAGCAAACAGGAUUAGAUACCCUGGUAGUCCACGCCGUAAACGAUGAUCACUAGGUGU